CAUUUGGCUAAUUGGGCGUUUUUCCCACCGUUUGCCGCAUACUCCUAAAAAUAAAAAGGGGGGAGACUCUUAAUAAUCCAGACUCAUGCCUAGGCAUGCAUUAAGUACACAUACCUCUUGGAAGAUUGUGAAGUCUCCAUGGUACUCCCGGUCCCUUUCCAUUUUGAACGACGGCCUUCUGUGGGGGCCGCCCUUGAGGAGACACGGUCCCUGGAGCGCCGAUCCUGUUAAAGAUCCAGAUCAGUACAAUGGAUAAGGGUAUAUAUGGGGACCUGUUCUUAAAGAAGCCUCUGGAUACUCACAAUGCAGAAUGGGUAAAGGCGAGGGUAGUCGAUAACGAUGGUCACCUCCGAACCGUCAAGCCUCGCCUAAUAGAAUACCCCAUCGUCAAAUUAUAUAUAUAUAUACUCGCAAAAAUGCCCGUGCGUUGCAAUGGGAGAACAGGUAUCCUGGAUCCUUCGGGGAAAAAACAACACAUCCAAGUUGAUAAAUAUCAAACUGGAAAAUUGUUACAAUGCCAAGCCAAAUUCUGUCAUGCUUCUAUGCUAGCAAAAGUUUGGGCUGUGUAAAGCAACUCUUUGCAGCAUAACCCAAACAAACACAAAAUAUGAUUGGUAGCUAAAUCUAUCAAUGAAUUCAGCUGCAUAUCUUUGAGUCCUUUAUUAAUAUUGCGGCAUUGUUCUUAGAUAGAUUGCCAUGUCCCUUCUUGAACUGAAACACCAUCAAGCAAAAGACAGGACAUCGACAAUCUCCAUUUAUAUAUAAAAAAAGAAUAGUACUAAACUAAAACAGAUAGUACAAAUGAAAGGUUUUCCAACUAUUAAAUACCGAGAAAGAAAUUAGUAUAAGAUGAGUUUGCAAACCUGGAUGGAUGAUGAAUGCCUAUUGCUUAUCCAUUGACAUGUGUGUUGUCAUCUGCCAACUUCACCUACCAAUAUUAGAUGCAUCAAUAUUGUAUUAGGCUAAGAGCAGUGGGCAUGUCCAUUAGCGGUAACAAACCAAAUAAUCUGUCUUGUUUCAUAGAGACCCAUGUAAAGUGUUGAGACAUACCAGAUUCCUAAAUCAGGAUUGCUGAAACCGCACCAUAUUGUGCAU
rnacentral:lncRNA from 1 species